GCGUCUGGCUCAGGAGUAAAAGAAACACCUUCCUUCCCUCACAUCCGUUUGUGGUUUGUUUAAGAAGAGGAGGAAAAGAGAGAGAGAGAGAAAAGAGAGAGAGAGAGGAAAAAAAACAGGGUGGAAAAGCGCUCAACUCUCCCCCCCGAAGCCGCGGCGCGCACCCGUCCACGCCGAGCGCGCAGCCUGCCUGAUCCGCUCGGCCCCGGCGCUCUCGGCCCGCCGCCGCCGGGCAGAGUUGGAUUCUGUUCAUGUUCUCCAACCAGUGACUUCAUAUUGUCUGCCCUUGCCCAUGUACCAGUGCUGGAAGGCCUUGACCUGAAGCAUGACUGUGAACUGCUUUGAGAUGGUCUGAAUGACCUCAUGGAUCAUUGGCAACCAGUGUUGCUGCCUUUGAAGGUGGCUGACAACUGAUGUCUCCUGGAGGGAUUUCACACAUGGUUGUAUUCAUGCUGCUGAGCAUCCACUCCAAGAAGUAGCUGCUGUUCUUCAUAUUGAGCAUCUACCUCCUACAUGCACAUGAAUAUGGCAACCAUGGGCACUUUUUGCCUAAUGGUCUUGGCUCUAGAAGGAAGAAUGCUACCAUAAGGAUACAGUACAUUUAUGCUGAACUGGAAAUCAACACUGUCACAGUUUCCAAGCAUUUGUGAAAAUUCAGAUUUUUUUACUUUUCUUUGACCUCUGACCAGGGCAGGUCCUGACCCCGUUCCUUUGGCUCUGAUCUGUAUCUGCGCAAUGUGAAGCAAGCAGAAGUUACUGCACCUGUGGCCUGUGUACGAAGUACGAUGACCAUAGUACGAUGACCACAUCAUGGGCAGCACUGCACUGAGCUCUCUCAGUGACUUGACCAUAGUACGGUGACCGCAUCAUGUGCAGCACUGCGCUGGGCUCACGCAGUGACUUGACCAUAGUAAGAUGACCGCAUCAUGUGCAGCACUGCGCUGGACUCACUCUCAGUGACUUGACCAUAAUACAGUGACCGCAUCAUGUGCAGCACUGCGCUGGACUCACUCUUAGUGACUUGACCAUACUACGGUGACCGCAUCAUGUGCAGCACUGCGCUGGACUCACUCUCAGUGACUUGACCAU